AUUGAACGCUGGCGGAAUGCUUUACACAUGCAAGUCGAGCGGCAGCGCGGGGCAACCUGGCGGCGAGCGGCGAACGGGUGAGUAAUGCAUCGGAACAUGUCCAGUCGUGGGGGAUAGCCCGCCGAAAGGCGGAUUAAUACCGCAUACGCCCGGGAGGGGAAAGCGGGGGACCUGCAAGGGCCUCGCGCGAUUGGGUUGGCCGAUGUCCGAUUAGCUAGUUGGUGGGGUAAAGGCCCACCAAGGCGAUGAUCGGUAGCUGGUCUGAGAGGAUGCUCAGCCACACUGGGACUGAGACACGGCCCAGACUCCUACGGGAGGCAGCAGUGGGGAAUUUUGGACAAUGGGGGCAACCCUGAUCCAGCCAUUCCGCGUGAGUGAAGAAGGCCUUCGGGUUGUAAAGCUCUUUUGUCCGGAGCGAAACGGUUGUGGUGAAUAUCCACGACUACUGACGGUACCGGAAGAAUAAGCACCGGCUAACUACGUGCCAGCCGCCGCGGUAACAC
rnacentral:rRNA from 1 species